rfam:Firmicutes bacterium CAG:137 genomic scaffold, scf160
GCCUUAUCAAGAGUGGCGGAGGGAACGGCCCGAUGAAGCCCGGCAACCUGUUGAUUCAAGGUGCCAAAUCCGGCGUCAGACGAAAGAUGAGGG